AGAUUGAACGCUGGCGGUAGGCCUAACACAUGCAAGUCGAGCGCGAAAGUGCCUUCGGGUGCGAGUAGAGCGGCGGACGGGUGCGUAACGCGUAGGAACCUGCCUGGUAGUGGGGGAUAACGUCGGGGAAACUCGAGCUAAUACCGCAUACGCCCCAGUGGGGGAAAGCGGGGGACCUUCGGGCCUCGCGCUAUCAGAUGAGCCUGCGUCGGAUUAGCUAGUUGGUAGGUAAUGGCCUACCAAGGCGACGAUCCGUAGCUGGUCUGAGAGGAUGAUCAGCCACACUGGGACUGAGAC
rnacentral:rRNA from 1 species